rnacentral:rRNA from 1 species
GCUAAUACAUGCGCACAUACCUCUUCCCUCGUGGAAGGGUAGUGUUUAUUAGAUACAGAACCAACCCACCUUCGGGUGGUCCUCAGGUGAUUCAUAGUAACCGAACGGAUCGCAUUAUGGCCUUUUGGUCGGCGAUGGAUCAUUCAAGUUUCUGACCUAUCAGCUUUCGACGGUACUGUAUUGGACUACCGUGGCAGUGACGGGUAACGGGGAAUUAGGGUUCGAUUCCGGAGAGGGAGCCUGAGAAACGGCUACCACAUCUAAGGAAGGCAGCAGGCGCGCAAAUUACCCAAUCCUGACUCAGGGAGGUAGUGACAAGAAAUAACAACACUGGAAAUUAUAUUUCUAGUGAUUGGAAUGAUGGGAAUCCAAACCCCUUUCAGAGUAACAAUUGGAGGGCAAGUCUGGUGCCAGCAGCCGCGGUAAUUCCAGCUCCAAUAGCGUAUAUUAAAGUUGUUGCAGUUAAAAAGCUCGUAGUUGGAUAUCUGCUGGAAGCAGCCAGUCCGCCCUUUGUGGGUGUGCACUUGGUGAAUUCUGGCAUCCUCCUGAUUGGUGUUAUCAUCACUUCAUUGUGUUGAUGGCAGCUGUCAGGACCGUUACUUUGAGAAAAUUAGAGUGUUUCAAGCAGGCUUGUUGCCUUGAAUACUGCAGCAUGGAAUAACAAGAUAGGAUUUCGGUUCUAUUUUGUUGGUUUCUAGGACUGAAGUAAUGAUUAAUAGGGACAGUUGGGGGCAUUCGUAUUUAACUGUCAGAGGUGAAAUUCUUAGAUUUGUUAAAGACGAA